UAGGGAGACCUAACUAAUCAGAAAGAAUCCAAGAUUUCACGAAGCUCUUCACGGAGCGGAUGGAAGGUCAGUUCAAAAGACGAACCUACAGAGACAUCUAGAUUAGUUCAUCCCAAGGUCGUUCGAGAUUAUGGAAAACUCAAAGCUUUUGUGCUUAAUCAACAUUGUUCUGAUGUUUUGUAAAUCUCAAAAACUCACUAGAAGUUAAGAGUAAGAUAUUAAUUUAGGUUUAUGGGCUAUUAGCUCAGUUGGUUAGAGCGCACGGCUGAUAACCGUGAGGUCCCUGGUUCGAGUCCAGGAUAGCCCAUCGGGGGUUUAGCUCAGUUGGUAGAGCGCCUGCCUUGCACGCAGGAAGUCAGGAGUUCGAGUCUCCUAACCUCCACCAAACACAUAAGCAUAUUUCUUAUUCCCAACAAACUAAUUUUAGAGGACAAAGACCUCAGCAUUCUUCGUUAGAGACAUAUCAAAGAAUGCUGAAGUUAUAUUCAGCCAGAACCUUGAAAACUGCAUAGUAAUAAAUAAUCUAAAGAAAGUUAGAAGUAACAUAGAGCUUUCUAUUAAUUCUCUAAGCAUCAAGAGUUAAUACCUCAGGAAUUUAGAAAUUAGAGAAAGUAGCUAACUCAAGCGAAUCAAAAUUAGAGCCAGAGUAAAUUGAUCAAAUUGU
rnacentral:tRNA from 1 species